AUGAUGUCGGUAGUCUGUCAUCCUCCGAUGAAGGCAGCUGUCCCCCGGCUUCCCCAGCCAGCCCAGGGCAGGGUGAUGGCAUCUUCCACUGUGCUGUGGUCCCGGAGCUUCCCAUCACCACUGCCGCUCACGCACAGCACACACAUGGCUCACAUCAUGGCAGAGCCUCACAAUGCCAGUGCGUCACACCACGCCAGGACCUCACCCCAUGCCAGAGCCUCACGCAUUCACAGCAUGAAAAGCACAGGUAACAUGGCUGAGGGCUCAGCCUUCCUCCCAUGUGUGCUUGGACCAGGACUUGCUGGACAGGCUGGCUGCCUCCAUCAACUCUGGGGUGGGCUGCCGAGCCCCUUGACCAGAGCCUGGGCCCAGCACGGCUCCGGCCACCUGCCCCGGCUAGCUUCACCUCUGCCAGGGCCGGAGACUGGUACUUGUGCCUCUGUCCGUGCCCCGCCCGCUGCACUCGUGUCUGUGACCCGCAACCGCCUGCACAGAAUCCCUGCAGAGGCCACCUCGCUCUGGACCCGCCGGGCCCCCGCUUCCCCCGCCGGGGCCGCUCCCCGCCCCGCCGGCCCCGCCCGUUCCCGGGCCUGUCCGUGCCAUGGCGGUGCUGCUCCAGCGCGGGCUGCGGCCGGUCCCGCUCCUCGCUUGGGCCCCGCGGCGGGCGGCGGCGGCGUGGCCCGGGGACCCGAAGCCGCCGGAGCCGGCGCUGGAGGAGCCGGAGAGGUGCGGAGCUGUCGGCCCGCGGUCGGGGCCUGCGCUGGCCCGGGCGCUCACGCGUGUUCCCCGCAGGGCUCGGCGGCGGCGGGCGGCGGCGCGGAUGGAGCGGCUGCGGCGGGAGCUGGGCGGGGGCCGCAGAGCCCCCGAUCGCUCCCUGACCUGGCAGGCGAUGGAGCAGCUGCGGUGAGCGCGGGGCCGGGCGGGCCGCGCCGCGCCGCGCCCGGUGACCGCCCCGGUGACCGUGACCGUGCCCGUGCCCGCAGGUUCCUGCGGCAGGAGCUGCCCGAGGAGUGGCCUCUGGAGCGCCUGGCCCAGGGCUUUGGCGUCGGCACCGACGUGGUGCGGCGGGUGCUGCGGAGCCGCGGCUGCCCCUCACCGCGCCGCCGGCUGCGGCAGGACCAGCGGGCGCUGAGCGCUGCCGCCACGGCACCGGCACCGGGCACCGGGGACGGGCGUGAGGUGCGCGCCCCCGACGGGACGCUCUUGUACCGGCUGCCGCGGGGCUGGGGCGGGCCGGGGCCCGGCGUGCAAUAA
rnacentral:lncRNA from 1 species